rnacentral:snoRNA from 1 species
AACCUCCCUAUCCCUUUCCCAUCAGAUCUGAAUAUGGAUCUUAUGGUCAAAAAGGAGGGAAAGUAAAAUGGAAGCUGGCCCCUUACCUCUUAGUUGGAGAAAAUCCUCCACUAAGGUGGGCUGGCUUGAGACAGUG